UCGCGGGCCCCGACGCCGCCGCGCUCAGUCCUGCUCCUCGGUCGAGGGAAGAUGGUGGGCCGGAACAGCGCCAUCGCCGCCGGUGUCUGCGGGGCUCUUUUCAUCGGGUACUGCAUUUACUUUGACCGCAAGAGACGGAGUGACCCCAACUUCAAGAACAGGCUUCGAGAACGAAGAAAGAAACAAAAGCUUGCCAAGGAGAGAGCUGGACUUUGCAAGUUACCUGACCUUAAAGAUGCUGAAGCUGUUCAGAAAUUCUUCCUUGAAGAAAUACAGCUUGGUGAAGAGUUGCUAGCCCAAGAUGAAUAUGAGAAAGGUGUAGACCAUCUGACAAAUGCAAUUGCUGUGUGUGGACAGCCACAGCAGUUGCUCCAAGUGUUACAGCAAACUCUUCCACCACCCGUGUUCCAGAUGCUUCUGACCAAGCUUCCAACAAUUAGAGAAUUGUAAGUGCUCAGAGCUUGGCUGAAGAUGAUGUGGAAUGAGAAAAUGUCAACAUAAUCUCAAUUAAAAAUAUUUUUAAAAUAUUAAGUCGGAAGAUGAGCAGCUCUGGGGGAAAAAGGGCAAAUAGGCUUGUUAUGGACUGUCCUACACUGAAAUCUACCAAAGUUAAUUUUUACUUUGUGUAGAUCCAUUCGUCUGUUUUAUUUAUUUUUUCCCAGUGAAAAGUGUAUUUUGAUAGAAAACUUUUCAUUUUAUAAAUACACUAUGAGUUACAAAAUA